rnacentral:snoRNA from 1 species
AUAACAUGAUGAGAACAAUUGGUCCGUGUUUCGGAGGCGGACUCAAGACCCGCUAUUUGACGAAACAACAAGCAGCAAUGCAUCUCUGAUUAU